GAUGAACGCUAGCUACAGGCUUAACACAUGCAAGUCGAGGGGUAACGAGAGGAAAGCUUGCUUUCCUUGUUGACGACCGGCGCACGGGUGAGUAACGCGUAUCCAACCUGCCCCCAACUAGGGAAUAACCUUGCGAAAGUAAGACUAAUACCCUAUAAUUUCCUCAGAUGACAUCUGACGAGGAAUAAAGAUUUAUCGGUUGUGGAUGGGGAUGCGUCUGAUUAGCUUGUUGGCGGGGUAACGGCCCACCAAGGCAACGAUCAGUAGGGGUUCUGAGAGGAACGUCCCCCACAUUAGAAAUGAGACACGGUCCAAACUCCUACGGGGGGCAGCAGUGGGGAAUAUUGGUCAAUGGGCGGAGGCGUGAACCAGCCAGGUAGAGUGCAGGAUGACGGCCCUAUGGGUUGUAAACUGCUUUUAUACAGGAAUAAAGUUAGCCACGUGUGGUUAUUUGUAGGUACUGUAUGAAUAAGGACCGGCUAAUUCCGUGCCAGCCGCCGCAGUAA
rnacentral:rRNA from 1 species